AGGAUCCACAGCACGCUGAUUAUCUUUCUGUCCAUCUCUUUAUUUAUAGUACUGGUCGUCAUGGUUAACACAAACACAGGAUAUUGAAUGCUUCCUGAAUUUACUCAGUGAAGUAACAUAAGUAGUCCCACAGUAUCACAGAGAGGUCAGACAGGUGGAGUAGUCCCACAGAGAGGUCAGACAGGUGUAGUAGUCCCACAGUAUCACAGAGAGGUCAGACAGGUGGAGUAGUCCCACAGUAUCACAAAGAGGUCAGACAGGUGGAGUAGUCCCACAGAGAGGUCAGACAGGUGGAGUAGUCCCACAGUAUCACAAAGAGGUCAGACAGGUGGAGUAGUCCCACAGAGAGGUCAGACAGGUGUAGUAGUCCCACAGUAUCACAGAGAGGUCAGACAGGUGGAGUAGUCCCACAGUAUCACAGCGAGGUCAGACA